ensembl:lncRNA
UACAGAGAAAGCAGUGCAUAGCACAGCAGAGCAAAGCAAGGCAAAAUAGCAGCCAAAGCCACGAGAAUCAAGAAGUCAGUGAAGAGCAGGAAAGGAAUGGAGGAAUCUGUCCAGAGCUGUGCCCCUGCUUGCCACAGGAGCUGCGCGGGAGGAGAAGAACGUGGGCCAAAAGGAAUGGAGGAAUCUGUCCAGAGCUGUGCCCCUGCUUGCCACAGGAGCUGCGCGGGAGGAGAAGAACGUGGGCCAAAAGGUAAGAGGAGCUCCUUUGGGUUCUGGGCUUGAAGCAAAGCUGAGAAGCCAUGCCCGGGAGGAGGUGUGGGUAGCUACAGGCCACCUUGCUAUCUCCCCAAGAGAUGAG